rnacentral:rRNA from 1 species
CGAUUACUGAAAGAAGCUUUCAAGCAAAAAGGGGGGGAGGGGAAGGCAGUUG